rnacentral:ncRNA from 1 species
GAAAGCCGGAUGCGGUGAAAGCCGCACGUCCGGUUCGGAGGGAGGCUGAGCCAUGUUCUCACUGAGACGGGGCCAGCCCACCCUAC